GCUCUCAUUAGAAAGGUCAGAGACAGGGCUUGCCCUGUAAACAUGUAAGACUGUAAUGUGCUAAUGAGAAAAUGUGUGAGUGAGUAUAUGUUGCUGAUUAAACCAUUAGCUAUUUUUCAGAAAUGACAAUGGCCACAACUGAAGGAAUUGCUGCUUUGCUUUAGUUUAAAACCCCUCAACCAAGAGAUCCUGUCUUGACAGUGAAAUCUGGUGUAGAAUGAGACAAAGUCCUGAGGCACCUUAUAGACUAACAGAAGUAUUCUUGCCUGCAUAUUGAUACCUGCCUCUGGAAAUUUCCACCACAUGCGUCUGAUGAAAACUCAUGAAAAGUACACAGAACUGGUUUAUUCUUUCCAAUUGAAAUAUGGGUCCAGGACUGCGUGGAAUAAGAUGAGAACUGGGUGAAGGACACUUAAGAGGUGAGCUGGGAGAAGCCAGCUUGGGUAGUGACCAGUUACAGCUGGACUUGAGGGGUUGAAUUUUGAAGCUACCUGGCCAUGGAAGACCCAGACACCAUGACCAACAGGAGGGAGACUAAGGGAAGGCUCCAACCACAAGAGGGUUU